UGACGUCAAGUCAUCAUGGCCCUUAUGUCCAGGGCGACACACGUGCUACAAUGGCCGGCACAGCGGGAAGCGAGGCAGUGAUGCCGAGCGGAUCCCUUAAAGCCGGUCUCAGUUCGGAUUGAAGUCUGCAACUCGACUUCAUGAAGCUGGAAUCGCUAGUAAUCGCAGAUCAGCCAAGCUGCGGUGAAUACGUUCCCGGGCCUU
rnacentral:rRNA from 1 species